CUGGGAAGUCAAAACCAAUAUGAGUAUCAUGAUAUAAAGAAUCUAUUAUAGGAAGACGUUACACAAAUGGGGAGAAGUUGGAGAGAAGUCCAAAAGGACGAGUUGAAAGAUCAGAUAGAAACCACCAGCCUUCUGAUACACUAUACAAGAGGACAAAUGAUAACUUACAGGAAAACCUGGAAGCUAAGCACGUCCAGAUGCUGAAGUUAAAUUACUAAGGAGAGCCAACAGAAAGUCCAGCUUGGGGUAGCUGCCGGUCAGCAGGACCAGCAUUUGGGAAGAAGAGCUGGACCCAUGGUGGGGGAUGAAGCAAGGACAUGGCAGAAUCCAUUGGCAUCUCUGCAUCUAACUAUGAAAACCUUCAGGGCAUGAUGGCUACAGCUUCCCCUACACCUUUCAAAAACCUCGUGUGAAUUUCUCUUUUGGUCAACUUCCAUCUAGAACCAUAAGUGGGAGAUUCUGGGAAAAUCCUUCCAAACUAGCCAAGUUGACAAGUGAUCAAUACAGCCCCCCACCACAAUCAUUCUCUGUUUAAGGUCACACGCUUUGGGUGGGUGCUUCAUCACUGUGAUUCCAGACGUGGAGUAUAAGAUGGAUGCCUGGUCAAACAGCCUAUCCAAUUCCUUGAGCCACAGUGAUUGGUCAGGGAUGUUACGAGCUGCAAGCUGGUCCUAUCAGAGUCAAUCUUAGGAUGCAACUGUGAGCUUCCUGGAAUAUAAACUCUUUUCUUCUGGAUGUGAGUCUGGAAAAAUGUACGCUGAAACUAUUGUGGCAUCUGCAAUUGGUAUAUACACAUAUAUACACAAUGGAAUAUUACUCAGCCAUGAAAAGGAAGGAAACAACACCAUUUGCAGCAGCAUAGAUGGACCUGUAGAUCAUCAUACUAAAUGAAGUGAGAAAGUCUUCAAAUAUAAGAUUCAUGUCGUCUUUGAAGAUGAUCUUAAAGUGAUUUGUUCAUAUUAGGUAACAAUAUUUGUUACCUAAUUUGUUCAAAUUAGGUAACUCCACUUUGUGGAGUGAAUGAAUAUGAAAAAAGGAAAAAUUAAAGUGAAUUAAGAAGUGGAUUUCACCUCAUAGAAUAAGGUAUACUCAGCAAGUCUUCUGUGUCUGGAAGGGGUGAAUUUCAAAUAUUACCGUUUCCGUAGGCUUUGAAAAAUUAAUUCAGUCACAAGACCCCAGUAUCUACCCCAGUUCUACUUGGUCCUUUGCAAAUGAAGUUAUUCUGAGAACAGAAACAUUUUGUUUUGUUACUGGAGAUUUUCUCCUCAAGGGUGGCUGUCAGAAUAAAUUGGGGUUAUGCUACAGCCACAACUCGAAAAUCUCAGGGGCUUAGAACAAUACAAAUAUACUUACUGUGCAUGUGACAUUUCCAAAGCAAAUUAGCAAUGGGACUUUGUUCUUUAUAGUCAAUCAGGAACCCAGGUAGAUGGAGGUCGCAUCUCAAAAUGUGAAUCCACCAUCACAGUGUAAAGAAGGUAGCAUCAUGGCAAACCGUGCCCUGGUUCUUCAAGCUGCCACCUGGAAGCGAUGCACAUCCUAUGUUUCAUGGCCCGUGCAAGUCACAUGACCACAUCUCCCAUCAGGGAGGCAGGGAUGUGCACACACUGUGCAAAUUCUGAGAAAUGAUGGAUGGGAUUUAUUUCCAUGUGAAAUCAUCCACAUGUACAUAAUUUUCAACAUCCCAGUAUGGACUCCCUUCUCUUGAGGUCUAUUUCUUAUACGUGUAUCUGAACCCUUUGCCCAUAAAUUGUUUCCCAGAACACAUGCUUCCUAUCACUCCAUACCCACAACUGAAAGAGUGAAAGAGAGAGAGAGAGAGAGAGAGAGAGAGCGCAGGAGAGAGGCUACCCACAGCUAAGCUACACUUAGCUACUUUCUUAUUCCUGUUCUGACCAUAUAAUAUAGCAGAUAAUUAUGGUGCAAGUGAUUUCCACUCCUCGUAGGUGAUCAUACUUGAGAUUCUAUUGAUUUCUUCACCUUGGGGAUGUAAAGAGAGCACCUUUUACCUAUUAGUAGGGGGUUAACAAGUUUCUGCAGAAUAAAAAUUCUUUGGACAUUUUAAUUGCUAUUUUCAGCAAAUACAAAGCAAACUGGUACAUGUUCCCUGGGGUGAGUGGGGGACUCAAUAAAUUUAUUGAGUGGUGAGAAUAGAAUGAUUAAAACUAUAAAGUAAAUGCUUACAUUUGGAAAAUGGGAUCUUGUUCCACAAGUUCUGAGUAAUAAGAACUCUAAUUUCUUUUAGUUAUCAUGCAUGACACGAAAUAUAUAAUUUAUUGUGAAAUGGACUGCCCCAAAUAGGUCAUGUUGUUAUCUUUACGGCAAAAUUUGAACUCUAGCAGAUACAAGCUCCAUGCUCACUUUUGGCAUUAUUCUAACAUUAUUUUUGUUUUU